rnacentral:rRNA from 1 species
GCUGAAGCCGGUCCCAAGGGUAUGGCUGUUCGCCAUUUAAAGUGGUACGCGAGCUGGGUUUAGAACGUCGUGAGACAGUUCGGUCCCUAUCUGCCGUGGGCGUUGGAGAUUUGAGAAGAGUUGCUCCUAGUACGAGAGGACCGGAGUGAACGAACCUCUGGUGUUCCGGUUGUCACGCCAGUGGCAUUGCCGGGUAGCUAUGUUCGGACGGGAUAACCGCUGAAAGCAUCUAAGCGGGAAGCCUCCUUCAAGAUGAGAUCUCCCUGAGACUUCGAGUCUCCUAAAGGGCCGUGGAAGACUACCACGUUGAUAGGCUGGGUGUGGAAGCGUUGUGAGGCGUUGAGCUAACCAGUACUAAUUGCCCGUGCGGCUUGACCAUACAACAGAGAUGG